GGUUAUGUGGAUUAGAUACCCGGGUAGUCCACGCCGUAAACGAUGAGUGCUAGACGUCGGGGGGCUUGCCCUUCGGUGUCGCAGCUAACGCAUGAAGCACUCCGCCUGGGGAGUACGGCCGCAAGGUUAAAACUCAAAGGAAUUGACGGGGGCCCGCACAAGCGGUGGAGCAUGUGGUUCAAUUCGACGCAACGCGCAGAACCUUACCAGCCCUUGACAUGCAGGGUCGCGGGAACCGGAGACGGUUCCCU
rnacentral:rRNA from 1 species